UCCGCUUUGAUGUGUUGUGCAUAAUAUCUUCAGUUUUGUUUUGGUUUAUUUCUGUUUCGUUGAGAUAUAUUAUUUUGCAUUUUAUAUGUUCUUAUUGCAUACAAAGGAUUGAAUGAUGUACAUAUAUUGUCAAAGAUCUUACCCUUAAUCAUGACAAGGAGGAAUAUUGCUAAUAAACUUUUUAUUUUGUAACACUUGAAGCUGUGAAAAAUAAAGUCUAUAAAAACAUUAACAAUGCUGCGAGGCUUCAAUAGUUGUAUUCAAUAAAAAUUUUGUGUACUUGGUGUA